rnacentral:lncRNA from 1 species
AACAACCAAUUUCGAAACAGCCUGAACAGACCCCUCCAUUCUACUGGCCUUGCCUCAGUCCCUCGCCAUCUUCGCCCCAAACGCCUCACGUGCGUUGUGUCUGCGCGGCCGUUCCCUAGAUUAAACGCAGGGAAUGAUUAUGGGAGUAGUGUUGCGUUAUGCUGGACAAAGUCGUUGGCAGGUGGAGUGAGCGUGCGCAGUAGUUUUCGAAAUCGAAGACUGGCUUGUAUUGAAAUGAGCUCUGUUGAAGACCGGUCUGUAGAACGACACCCGUCAACAGCGAGAUGUCCUCACCGGAACGAGAGUAGAAGCUGCAACUGGUUGUCCAUUGAAAAGUAUCCUCCUGUCAUCUAAUACUUCGAAGCCACCAUGACAUAGCACGCAAAGCCAAGCCCCUGCCCUUAAAACCAGCACAAAUACUCGGCCUUCACACUCAAACUCGGGGCUCAAACCAGACCUGUCUCCUCAAGGCUGGCUUCAGGGCGGAUUCUUGCGGCAGGAGUCGGGUUCCGUUGGCUCCUGACGCUGCGGCUGGGAGGCAAACGGCAGCAAGGUCUAUAGAAACUCUCCAACGGGCGGUCGGCGGUCGGAGCGAGGGUGAAACAGCUGAUGCAAAGAUGAUGCUGACUCACUGUGACUGGAACCCUCUACGGACAAGAGCUUAGCCGAAGCGUCGUGAUCAGUCGUCGCGGUUCCAGUGGAAGAGUCGUAACCCUUCCGCGCGCUGCGACUCCCUUGCAACUCCCGUGCGAAUAGUGUCUGCCAC